rnacentral:rRNA from 1 species
ACGAACGCUGGCGGCGUGCCUAAUACAUGCAAGUAGAACGCUGAAGGAGGAGCUUGCUUCUCUGGAUGAGUUGCGAACGGGUGAGUAACGCGUAGGUAACCUGCCUGGUAGCGGGGGAUAACUAUUGGAAACGAUAGCUAAUACCGCAUAAUAGUAGAUGUUGCAUGACAUUUGCUUAAAAGGUGCAAUUGCAUCACUACCAGAUGGACCUGCGUUGUAUUAGCUAGUUGGUGGGGUAACGGCUCACCAAGGCAACGAUACAUAGCCGACCUGAGAGGGUGAUCGGCCACACUGGGACUGAGACACGGCCCAGACUCCUACGGGAGGCAGCAGUAGGGAAUCUUCGGCAAUGGACGGAAGUCUGACCGAGCAACGCCGCGUGAGUGAAGAAGGUUUUCGGAUCGUAAAGCUCUGUUGUAAGAGAAGAACGAGUGUGAGAGUGGAAAGUUCACACUGUGACGGUAUCUUACCAGAAAGGGACGGCUAACUACGUG